GGGUCUUCCAGGGAGUGCAGGACAGCCUGGAAUGAAAGGUGAUAAGGGUGAACAUGGCCUUGCAGGAGACCCAGGAGACCAGGGGUACCCAGGAGACAAGGGUGCUGUUGGUUUGCCGGGUCUGCCAGGGAUCAGAGGAAAGCCAGGACCUCCUGGAAAAAUUGGAGAUCCUGGAUCACA